GCUGCCACAAAUUAGCACAAUUAGGAUUCGACAAGGAUGCGAUAUUAGUGACGGAGGUGGAAUUCUGCAGCAGGAGAAGCUGGGAAUCCAUCACCAGUCGAGACGGCUACAAUGUCAGAGAUGAUCGGUUUACUGAUAAUUCAAUGAUAUAACAUGAAUCUCUCUCCCAUAGUUUUUUUAGCUUCAUGUUAAACCAUUGCUUCUUGCAAUGAUUGCCCUGUGCUACAUUUUUUAUUCACGCACUCUUUCCCAUUCUCUGAGAGCGUCCGCUGCUUCAAUUACCCCCUGGAUUGAUUUGUUUCACCGUAGUGUAAUCAUCAGCAAGCGACACUGAUUAUCGUUAGGCCCAAGGCAGGAGCACAGCCCGAGCGACCAAAAUAAUGACAUGAGUCCUAGGUCGGCUUUGAAAAAAUCGAUCUGCAAGCUGCAGAUUCAGCAACACUCAAAGCAAGGCUACAUACAAUUUUUUUUAGAUCUGUGGUUUAAUACGAUUUAAAAA
rnacentral:lncRNA from 1 species